rnacentral:rRNA from 1 species
GGCGCACGGGUGAGUAACACGUAGGUAACCUGCCUCCAAGACCGGGAUAACGGCUCGAAAGGGUCGCUAAGACUGGGUAAGCCCACGCAGCGGGAGUUGCGAGGGAAAAACAUGGCCUCUGUUUACAUGCUAUGGCUUGGAGAUGGGCCUGCGGACUAUCAGCUAGUUGGUGGGGUAACGGCCUACCAAGGCGAUGACGGUUAGCCGGCUUGAGAGAGUGUACGGCCACACUGGAACUGAGACACGGUCCAGACUCCUACGGGAGGCAGCAGUAGGGAAUUUUCCGCAAUGGGCGAAAGCCUGACGGAGCAAUGCCGCGUGAGGGAAGAAGGCCUUCGGGUCGUAAACCUCUUUCGUUUGGGAAGAAAGCGGGCGCAUACAAGGCGUGCGCACGUUGACGGUACCAGAGGAAGAAGCCCCGGCUAAUUACGUGCCAGCAGCCGCGGUAAUACGUAAGGGGCAAGCGUUGUCCGGAAUCACUGGGCGUAAAGGGCGCGUAGGCGGUUCGGUAAGUCGGGAGUGAAAGCGCUGGGCUCAACCCAGCAAUGGCUCUCGAGACUGCCGUGCUAGAGGAUCCUAGGGGAUGCUGGAAUUCCAGGUGUAGCGGUGAAAUGCGUAGAUAUCUGGGAGAACACCCGUGGCGAAGGCGGGCAUCUGGGGGAUUCCUGACGCUGAGGCGCGAAAGCUAGGGGAGCGAACGGGAUUAGAUACCCCGGUAGUCCUAGCCCUAAACUAUGAGUACUAGGUGUUGGGGGUCAAACCCCGGUGCCGGCGCUAACGCAUUAAGUACUC